rnacentral:rRNA from 1 species
GAGUGCGCGUCCGUAGCAAUACGGAUGGCGCACGGCGCACGGGUGCGUAACACGUGGGCAAUCUGCCCUUCGAUGGGGAAUAACUCCGGGAAACCGAAGCUAAUUCCGCAUAACAUUCCCGGGACUCCGGUUCGGGGAAUCAAAGCAGUGAUGCGUCGGAGGAGGAGCCCGCGCCCGAUUAGCUAGUUGGCAGGGUAACGGCCUACCAAGGCAAUGAUCGGUAGCUGGUCUGAGAGGAUGGCCAGCCACACUGGAACUGAGACACGGUCCAGACUCCUACGGGAGGCAGCAGUGGGGAAUCUUGCGCAAUGGGCGAAAGCCUGACGCAGCGACGCCGCGUGGGGGAUGAAGCUUCUCGGAGUGUAAACCCCUUUCGACUGGGACGAAUGCCCGCAAGGGAGUGACGGUACCAGUAGAAGAAGCCCCGGCUAACUACGUG